UCGGCUUUGGCUUCCAAGGCUACGGGCUUUCCUAUAGCAAAAAUGGCAGCUAAGUUGUCAAUUGGGUAUUCACUGGGCCAGAUUCCUAAUGAUACUAAAAAGAAGACCCUAGCUAGUUUCUAACCUUCUAUUGGUUAUGUGGUAACCAAGAUCCCCCGAUUUGCAUUUGAAAAAUUCCCGGGCUCUCAGCCAAUUCUGACCACUCAGAUGAAAUCAGUUGGUGAAGCA
rnacentral:misc_RNA from 1 species